UACUAAGGGGGCUAGCGUUGCUCGGAAUUACUGGGCGUAAAGGGAGCGUAAGCGGACUGUUUAGUCAGAUGUGAAAGCCCAGGGCUCAACCUUGGAAUUGCCUUUGAUACUGACAGUCUUGAGUACGGAAGAGGUAUGUGGAACUCCGAGUGUACAGGUGAAAUUCAUAUAUAUUCCGAAGAACACCAGUGGCGAAUGCGACAUACUGGUCCGUUACUGACACUGAGGCUCGAACGCGUGUGGAGCAAACAGG
rnacentral:rRNA from 1 species